AAUCAACGCUGGCGGCGUGCCUAACACAUGCAAGUCGAACGAGAAAGCGGGGGCAACCCUGUGAGUACAGUGGCAGACGGGUGAGUAACACGUGAACAACCUACCCUUGAGUGGGGAAUAACACCGCGAAAGCGGUGCUAAUACCGCAUAACAUCUUGAAUCUACAUGGAUUUGAGAUCAAAAGCGCAAGUUGCUUGAGGAGGGGUUCGCGGCUGAUUAGCUAGUUGGUGAGGUAACGGCCCACCAAGGCAACGAUCAGUAGCCGGCCUGAGAGGGCGAACGGCCACACUGGAACUGAGACACGGUCCAGACUCCUACGGGAGGCAGCAGUGGGGAAUUUUGCGCAAUGGGCGAAAGCCUGACGCAGCAACGCCGCGUGGAGGAUGAAGGCCUUCGGGUCGUAAACUCCUGUCGAUGGGGACGAAAGCCUAGCAAUAGGAUUGACUGUACCCGUUGAGGAAGCCACGGCUAACUCCGUGCCAGC
rnacentral:rRNA from 1 species